CGCGAAGAACCUUACCUGGGCUAGAAUGCGGUUUGACCGUGGGUGAAAGCUCACUUUGUAGCAAUACACAAAUCGUAAGGUGCUGCAUGGCUGUCGUCAGCUCGUGCCGUGAGGUGUUGGGUUAGGUCCCGCAACGAGCGCAACCCCUAUCUUUAGUUGCCAUCAGGUAAUGCUGGGAACUCUAAAGAAACUGCCGUCGUAAGGCGUGAGGAAGGAGGGGAUGAUGUCAAGUCAUCAUGGCCUUUAUGCCCAGGGCUACACACGUGCUACAAUGGCGAGUACAAGGGCAGCUACCUGGUAACAGGAUGCUAAUCUCAAAAAACUCGUCUCAGUUCGGAUUGGGGUCUGCAACUCGACCCCAUGAAGCUGGAAUCGCUAGUAAUCGUAUAUCAGCAAUGAUACGGUGAAUACGUUCCCGGGCCUUGUAC
rnacentral:rRNA from 1 species